rnacentral:rRNA from 1 species
GUGACCUCGAUGAAGGUAGGGAUACCCGCUGAACU